GUUUCCGUGUCCGUGGUGAAAACCAAAUCCAAAUAUUUAUUGUUUUGAUUCGGUGUAUCACACACUUGCAUCAAUCCAGACGACGAAAAAUCAUCAACAAUGGCUACUUCACUCUGCGAAACGAUUCGCUCAGGUUGAAAUCACCUGACACGAGCACCAUGUCACCCGGCUGAAUUAUGUCGAUGACGGAGUCAACAAAUGCGACGAACGAGUGGUAGCGAGCUAAAUUCGAGAUCGCUUCAUUGUUUUCAGCUCGAGCUGACGAUACGACGAUGGACCGCAAUAAGCGCUUCGCCAUCGGACAGUUUAUCGCUGUUAAGUGUGUUUCUGUCGCAGCGGUAGACCGAAAAACACGAAUUGAACAGUACACUAUCUUGUAUAGAGGAUUCCAAGGUUUCCCACGUUUAACGGAUUAACAGAACGAGACUCAAUUCCAUCACUAAUAGCGGAUAGGAUUCUUCACACAAAAUGUCACUGCGGCAUCGCAACCGUUGGCUGGAAGGGAGCAACGAGCGGAGUGGAGAAACAGUCUCGCUGCUGAGAGGGACUAUCACGCUGUCGCUCGUCACGAAAAAUUGUAUUGCCCCGUUCGGCACCUACAAACUUACGGAAAUAAAUUCCUUUUUGCCAGCUUGAUGGCA